rnacentral:rRNA from 1 species
GACGAACGCUGGCGGCGCGCCUAACACAUGCAAGUCGAACGGAGCUGAGAGGAGCUUGCUUUUCUUAGCUUAGUGGCGAACGGGUGAGUAACGCGUGAGUAACCUGCCCUGGAGUGGGGGACAACAGUUGGAAACGACUGCUAAUACCGCAUAAGCCCACGAAGCCGCAUGGCUUUGCGGGAAAAGGAUUUAUUCGCUUCAAGAUGGACUCGCGUCCAAUUAGCUAGUUGGUGAGGUAACGGCCCACCAAGGCGACGAUUGGUAGCCGGACUGAGAGGUUGAACGGCCACAUUGGGACUGAGACACGGCCCAGACUCCUACGGGAGGCAGCAGUGGGGGAUAUUGCACAAUGGGGGAAACCCUGAUGCAGCGACGCCGCGUGGAGGAAGAAGGUUUUCGGAUUGUAAACUCCUGUCGUUAGGGACGAUAAUGACGGUACCUAACAAGAAAGCACCGGCUAACUACGUGCCAGCAGCCGCCGUAA